GACCAGUCUAUUUAUUUAGUUAGCUAAAUAAAUGUGAAACCAAAACAAUGUAAAAACUAAACUAAAAUGUAGUGUUACAUUUGUUUAUUUGCACUAAUACGUGUUGAAGGCUUUUUAAAUACUGUUUAGCCAGUGUCCUAUUUUGCGAUUUGGGACACAGCCACAUAUUCACCAUACACAUAAUUUCUCUACACAUCUCCUUGUUUAUGAUACUUUAAAUAAAGUUUAUAUCUAUAACGCUAGAUAUGUAUUUUUUCUAUAUAAAACAACAGUAUAAAUACUAUACUAUACACACGAAUCGGGAUAAUUUCGUUUAGGCUUCAUAGGAACUAAUCAGCUUUAAUAUUGUAGCUGGUCGGACACAUUUAUUUGUGUACCCAUAGGACGCUGAGAGAUGUAUUAUUUUUGAGUGUAAAUGUUUUUUAAACCUCCUGGUUUUCAGUCUUUCUGCUGUAAGCAAGGGUAAGAAUACAUCCAGAAAGGAUGAUGCGCUACUGGGGUGAACUCCCAGUUGCAUCCGCCCCUCCAGGCCGGAGCUCCUUUGACCUUUUACAAAGAGAAUUUCGCCAAGUAGAGAUGCAAGACCCUCCGCUGCACCAGCCAUCAGCACAGCGGCCGCGGCCCACCACCAUGCUGGACAUCCCCUCAGAGCCCUGCAGCCUCACCAUCCACACAGUGCAGCUCAGCCAGCACGCCCGGCGCCUCCGCAGCCUCCUCACCGCAGCACAGCUCGGCCAGCAGCCUCUGGCAGCUUUAUCAGACGCGCAGGGCCUGCUGAGACCAGAGGACGGGGAUUCACUGCCCCCACGGCCGGUUACUCCAGCAGUACCUGACGAUCUCUUGCCUCUGGACAGUAAAGCUCCCUGUGAACCCUUCCAGCUCCGGCACAGCGACCCAGAGAGCCACUUCUACAAAGGUGAAGGGGAGCCGGUGACGGAGUUGAGCUGGCCCUCCUGCCGUCAGCUCCUCUACCAGUCGGUUGCUACAGUCUUGGCUCACGCUGGCUUUGAGUCUGCGACCGAGAGCGUGCUGGAGACCCUGACUGACCUGGUUCAUGAGCACUACCUGCGGCUGACCCGGCUCCUCCGGGUGGCGGUGGACCGCGAGGCUCGUCUCGGCUCGACCGCCUUCCCCGACGUGGUGGAGCAGGUCUUUCAUGAGGUGGGCAUUGGAAGCGUGCUUGCCCUGCAGCGCUUCUGGCAAGUCCGCAUCAAAGACUACCACAGCUACAUGCUGCAGGUAAACAACUUGGACAACUUUUUUUGUUUUUAAAGCAGGCAUUACCACCCACAGUCAAAAGUCAUGGGAAUGAUUCAUGGUAAUUCCCUUCUUCUGGCAUGUCAGAAUAUACAGGUACACCUGAUGUUCUAAGAAAUUAGAACAUAAUUGAAAAGUUACUUUAUUUCAGUAAUUCAGUUCAAAAUGUGAA
rnacentral:lncRNA from 1 species